UACGUAGGGUGCAAGCGUUGUCCGGAUUUAUUGGGCGUAAAGAGCGUGUAGGCGGCCAUGUAGGUCCGGUGUGAAAACUCGAGGCUUAACCUCGAGAUGUCAUCGGAAACCAUUUGGCUAGAGUCCGGAAGAGGAGAGUGGAAUUCCUGGUGUAGCGGUGAAAUGCGCAGAUAUCAGGAAGAACACCCGUGGCGAAGGCGGCUCUCUGGGACGGUACUGACGCUGAGACGCGAAAGCGUGGGGAGCGAACAGG
rnacentral:rRNA from 1 species